GUGCAGACGCUCACUUUGUGAGGAGGCAAGCACUCGUCUCACAGGUUCCGCAGUUACAGCUUAUUUCAAACAGCAGCUAUACUAGAAGUCAUGACGCAAUGAGUCGUCAUUGAAAGUUGAGGAUGAAGAAUGGGGAGAAAUUUCAGAGAAAAGUCGCUCGAAUCGUCGCAGUGCACUAACAACUUCCCCAGUGUUUAUAUCUUCUUUAGACUUUUAAAAAAGCAGAAGCAGAUUUAGAUAAUAAGGAAAGAGUUUGAGAUAGCGAGUGUAAACUGGAAUGUGUCAAUGAAAUCGUCAUAGGAAUGUCAGACUGAACUACGAAGGCAAGAUCUGUAUAUACGAGGACUUGCUGAAAGCUACAGCAUUUGCCGGAAGUGGCCACAAGGGACCUCUUUCUAUUCCCGAUGCUGAAGAGAACCAUGAAAGGACAUUGUUUUGCCACCACUGAUGAGAUAAAAGGUGAAUCGCUGAAGAAUUACUUUGAAG